rnacentral:tRNA from 1 species
GCCCUUGUAGCCCAAUUGGCAGAGGCGACAGGCUUAGAACCUGUGCGUUGUAGGUUCGAAUCCUACCAAGGGCACCA